UACGUAGGGUGCAAGCGUUAAUCGGAAUUACUGGGCGUAAAGCGUGCGCAGGCGGUUUUGCAAGUCAGAUGUGAAAGCCCCGGGCUCAACCUGGGAACUGCGUUUGAAACUACAAGGCUAGAGUAUGGGAGAGGGAGGUAGAAUUCCACGUGUAGCAGUGAAAUGCGUAGAGAUGUGGAGGAAUACCAAUGGCGAAGGCAGCCUCCUGGCCUAAUACUGACGCUCAUGCACGAAAGCGUGGGGAGCAAACAGG
rnacentral:rRNA from 1 species